rnacentral:rRNA from 1 species
UACGGAGGGUGCAAGCGUUAAUCGGAAUUACUGGGCGUAAAGCGUGCGCAGGCGGUUUGUUAAGUCCGCUGUGAAAUCCCCGAGCUCAACUUGGGAAUUGCAGUGGAUACUGGCAAGCUGGAGUAUGGUAGAGGAAGGUGGAAUUCCCGGUGUAGCAGUGAAAUGCGUAGAGAUCGGGAGGAACACCGAUGGCGAAGGCAGCCCCUCG